GGGGACGUAGUUCAACGGUAGAGCGCAUAGGAAAUGUCAAGCAUCGUCACCACCGGAUUACCGGUAAGUAGUUGCCCCGGCGUAGGUAGUGUUUAGUUUACGAACUACUGUGAAGCGCGGGUUCGACUCCUGCCGUCUCCA